rnacentral:rRNA from 1 species
GCUCGUAGUUGGGAUUUGUGGCUUUCUUGAGUGGCCUGGCACCUAGUGCUAGUGUUUGCUUGAGUCGCCAUCCUUGGGUGGAACUUGUGUGGCAUUAGGUUGUCGUGCAAGGGAUGCCCAUCCUUUACUGUGAAAAAAUUAGAGUGUUCAAAGCAGGCUUAUGCCGUUGAAUAUAUUAGCAUGGAAUAAUAAGAUAGGACCUUGGUGCUAUUUUGUUGGUUUGCGCACCCAGGUAAUGAUUAAUAGGGACAGUUGGGGGUU